rnacentral:rRNA from 1 species
GACGAACGCUGGCGGCGUGCUUAACACAUGCAAGUCGAACGGUGAAGCGCCUUCCUUUUUGGUGGGUGUGGAUGAGUGGCGAACGGGUGAGUAACACGUGAGUAACCUGCCCCCUUCUUCUGGAUAACCGCAUGAAAGUGUGGCUAAUACGGGAUAUUCUGGGUCUGUCGCAUGAUGGGUCUGGGAAAGAUAUUGUUUCGGUGGGGGAUGGGCUCGCGGCCUAUCAGCUUGUUGGUGGGGUGAUGGCCUACCAAGGCGGUGACGGGUAGCCGGCCUGAGAGGAUCGACGGCCACACUGGGGCGAAGCCACGGCCAAGACUCCUACGGGCAGCAGCAGGGGGGAAUAUUGCACGGUGGGCGGAAGGCUGAUGCAGCGACGCCGCGUGGGGGAUGGAGUCCUUCGGGUUGUGAACCUCUUUCGCCAGUGAAGCAGGCCUGCCUCGUUUGUGGGUGGGUUGACGGUAGCUGGAUAAGAAGCGCCGGCUAACUACGUG